GUUGCUAUGGAAACGGCGGGCUGGCGAGGGGGGCGGACCCGCGACGUGGACCCCAGACCCCAAACCGGCCCCUGGCCGGUAGUCGCUGUGUGAAGGAGUAGCCUGGAGAAAGUGGUCUGGAGUGGGGGACCGGAGAGCCGACAGCUGUCUUGGGAAAGGAACAGCCUCGUUUCGAGGGAUGGGAAGGCAUGUUGGGGAAUUCGAAAAUCUCUUGUCCGCAGAGUUCUCGGGCUGCCUUGCGAGCAGGCUUUCCUUCAGGAGAGCGGAAAACUUCUCGAGGGCGGGAGCAGUGACCUCAGAAUCUCCAGUGCCGGACUCCUAGCACUGUUGAGUAAAUGGUUUUUGAAUAAAUGAAUGAGUGGACAAAUGGUUGUCUUGUCUUCCACACUGAACAGGAAACUCUCUAAGUGGAGAGAGAAUAUUUUGCCCUGUUCACUGUUGUAUCGUAGGCACCAAAGGUGGAUCUGGUGUACGUGGAGCUUGAAGCUUACACGAUUCUGUCUGUCCCCUUUAAGAAAUAAAAAUACCGAAGCACAAGAAGAGGUUCAGAGCUUUGGAAGGGGCAAGUGAGGGGUCCUGAAAGUUAAACUUCAUGAAUUUCACAGUGAAUCCACUUGUCUUUGCCAUGAAGUGCGAUCAGAUCGAUGCCUGGUCCUUUGUAGA